UUCCUCCGGGAGGCAGCAGUGGGGAAUAUUGGGCAAUGGGCGAAAGCCUGACCCAGCAACGCCGCGUGAAGGAAGAAGGCUUUCGGGUUGUAAACUUCUUUUGACAGGGAAGAGCAGAAGACGGUACCUGUCGAAUAAGCCACGGCUAACUACGUGCCAGCAGCCGCGGUAAUACGUAGGUGGCAAGCGUUCUCCGGAUUUACUGGGUGUAAAGGGCGUGUAGCCGGGCUGACAAGUCAGAUGUGAAAUCCGGGGGCUCAACCCCCGAACUGCAUUUGAAACUGUGUUUCUUGAGUGCUGGAGAG
rnacentral:rRNA from 1 species